UACGAGGGGUGCAAGCGUUGCUCGGAAUUAUUGGGCGUAAAGGGCAGGUAGGUGGUCUUAUUUGUCUUAUGUGAAAUCCUUGGGCUUAACUCAAGAAGUGCGUAAGAAACGGUAAGACUAGAGUCCCAGAGAGGCUUGUGGAAUUCCCGGUGUAGCGGUGAAAUGCGUAGAUAUCAGGAGGAACGCCUGCGGUGUAGACGGCUUUCUGGACCAUUGCUGACGCUGAGACACGAAAGCGUGGGUAGCAAACAGG
rnacentral:rRNA from 1 species